rnacentral:rRNA from 1 species
UACGUAGGUGGCAAGCGUUGUCCGGAUUUACUGGGUGUAAAGGGCGUGCAGCCGGGCUGACAAGUCAGAUGUGAAAUCCCGCGGCUCAACCGCGGAACUGCAUUUGAAACUGUCAGUCUUGAGUACCGGAGAGGUCACCGGAAUUCCUUGUGUAGCGGUGAAAUGCGUAGAUAUAAGGAAGAACACCAGUGGCGAAGGCGGAUGACUGGACGGCAACUGACGGUGAGGCGCGAAAGCGUGGGGAGCAAACAGG